GCUCAGUCAGGGGACAGAGCGCAGCCUCAGCACCUCGGACAGAAGGAAAAACACUCGCAUACACACUGCGGAUGAAAGGCCGUCCCACGCUCUCUGCUCGUGCACGGACUUGCAAAAAAAAAAAAAAGCCUUCUGAUCACGGAUACAAACACACCAUUCAACAAGGAUAUCUCACCCACAGCCCGCCACGGACAGCCAGCCUCGGCAGAUGGUGUGGGAUUUAUCGAUCUAGUCCACGCGCUCACCUGUUUGUCAAAGCGAGGCUGCACAAACUCAUGUGUCCUGCACAUCUGGAGCCUGGACGAUGCUACCGAACGGAUGUUUAAGUCUCCAUGGAUGCAGAAGGCACGAUGUGAAAGAAGCUUCAGACUUUCCUUUUGCUGUUACAGAAAACAACGGAGCCUGUUCCUGUCUUUGGUUAUCUAGCUGUAUGAGUGUUAAUCAUCCAUCAUAAAGCUAGAUAACCGAAAGUAGGAAUGACCUCCAAACCUUCGGCUUCCUGCGUUAAUGAGAAUAAACAAAAAGAAAAACACAAGAGGACAUCACGUUAUUUCAGGACCAUAAUGAUGAUGAUGCCGUCAUGCUGUGGAGGAUCUUCAGAGCUGUAUCAGUGUGUUCACAGGCCAAUACGUGGGUUUAUUGUCUCUGUGCAAUAAAGCUGCUUAGCCGCAAUUCAUACAAAAUAAUAGUUUGAAUGAGUUUUGAUACUGAUAAAGAAACUUGUCAUGAUAUAACAUUUGAGUGUUAUUUAUUUUCUCUUGGAGAAUCAUUUCUGAAAAAUGAAUAAAAAAUGUAAAUGGAUUUCGACUGAAAUGUGAUCUUUAAUUUAUGACCUAGCUUUCUUUUGUCAAAGUUAUAUUGACUUUUAGUCUUUGAAGUUGAUUAUUUGUGAUUUUAUUAGUUUUUUGAUGGAAGCAUUAAACAAUUCUAAAUGUUCCUGUUUUCAUUAAUUUACACCUGAUUUAUUCAUAUGACAUUUGAGCUUAUCAAAGCGAGCUGAAUGACUUGUUUGGCUCUUUACUCAAUAAAAUAAAUGUUGGAGAAAAAUGA